AUUGAACGCUGGCGGAAUGCUUUACACAUGCAAGUCGAACGGCAGCACGGACUUCGGUCUGGUGGCGAGUGGCGAACGGGUGAGUAAUGUAUCGGAACGUGCCCAGUCGUGGGGGAUAACGUCGGGAAAAUUACGCUAAUACCGCAUACGCUCUAUGGAUGAAAGCGGGGGAUCGCCAGACCCCGCGCGAUUGGAGCGGCCGAGAUCAGAUUAGGUAGUUGGUGGGGUAAAGGCCCACCAAGCCAACGAUCUAGAGCUGGUCUGAGAGGACGACCAGCCACACUGGAACUGAGACACGGUCCAGAGUCCUACGGGAGGCAGCAGUGGGGAAUUUUGGACAAUGGGCGAAAGCCUGAUCCAGCCAUUCCGCGUGCAGGAUGAAGGCCCUCGGGUUGUAAACUGCUUUUGUACAGAACGAAAAGGUUUCUACUAAUACUAGGAGCUCAUGACGGUACUGUAAGAAUAAGCACCGGCUAACUACGUGCCAGCCGCCGCCGUAA
rnacentral:rRNA from 1 species